rnacentral:rRNA from 1 species
AUUGAACGCUGGCGGCAGGCCUAACACAUGCAAGUCGAACGGCAGCACAGAAGAGCUUGCUCUUCGGGUGGCGAGUGGCGGACGGGUGAGUAAUGUCUGGGAAACUGCCCGGUGGAGGGGGAUAACUACUGGAAACGGUAGCUAAUACCGCAUAACGUCGCGAGACCAAAGUGGGGGACCUUCGGGCCUCACACCAUCGGAUGUGCCCAGAUGGGAUUAGCUAGUAGGUGGGGUAACGGCUCACCUAGGCGACGAUCCCUAGCUGGUCUGAGAGGAUGACCAGCCACACUGGAACUGAGACACGGUCCAGACUCCUACGGGAGGCAGCAGUGGGGAAUAUUGCACAAAGGGCGCAAGCCUGAUGCAGCCAUGCCGCGUGUAUGAAGAAGGCCUUCGGGUUGUAAAGUACUUUCAGCGGGGAGGAAGGCGAUGUGGUUAAUAACCGCGUCGAUUGACGUUACCCGCAGAAGAAGCACCGGCUAACUCCGUG